AUCUACGGCCAUACCACUCUGAACACGCCCCAUUUCGUCUGAUCUUGGAAGCUAAGCAGGGUCGGGCCUGGUUAGUGCUUGGAUGGGAGAUGGAGUCUCGCUCUGUCACUC
rnacentral:rRNA from 1 species